rnacentral:rRNA from 1 species
GACAGAGGUUGCAAACGUUGUUCGGAAUUACUGGGCAUAAAGCGCACGUAGGCCGCCCGCUAAGUCAGGCGUGAAAGCCCCCGGCUCAACCGGGGAAUUGCACCUGAUACUGGCGGGCUAGAGGUUGGUAGGGGUGAGCGGAACUCCAGGUGGAGCGGUGAAAUGCGUAGAUAUCUGGAGGAACACCGGUGGCGAAAGCGGCUCACUGGACCAAUACUGACGCUGAGGUGCGAAAGCUAGGGUAGCAAACGGG